rnacentral:rRNA from 1 species
AUGGUGCUCCAAGCAGCAGCAACAUCCCUGGUGGCUUCUCUGCGGUCACCAUGGAGCGUGCUCUGCGGUGCCGCCGCCCUGCUAGUCGUAUGGGCGGUCGCCCUGGCGGCCGAGAGUUACUGGCUGAGGCCCCGGCGGCUCGGCCGGGCGCUCCGGACGCAGGGUCUCGGCGGCACGGCGUACCGCUUCCCCGCCGGGGACUCAGCCGAGAACGCCCGGCAGAGCCAGGAGGCGCUGUUCAAGCCCAUGCCGCCGUCGUGCCACGACGUUGUUCCCCGCGUGAUGCCGCACCUCCACAAGACUGUCAAGGAACACGGUGAAGUGUGCAUCACCUGGGACGCCCCGGAGCCCAGGGUCGUCAUCGCAAAGCCAGAGCUGGUGACCCAGAUCCUAUCUAGCAACUCUGGCCACUUCGAGAAACUCAGGACCAAUCUUGGAGACCUGGUAUGCCGCGGGGUCGGGACCUACGACGGCGAGAAAUGGGCGAGGCAUAGGAGGAUUCUCAACCCUGCUUUCCAUCUUGAAAAGCUCAAGGCCAUGUUCCCUGCUUUCUCCACGUGCUGCACCGAGCUGGUGGACAGAUGGGAGAGUAAACUACUGGCUGCAGGUUGUGAGGGGUCGGUCGAACUCGACGUCUCCCAGGAGUUCCCGGUCCUCACCGGAGACGUGAUCACCCGCACAUCGUUCGGUAGCAGCUUCACCGAAGGAAGAAGAAUCUUCGAGCUUCAAGUAGACCAGGCAAAGAGACUUAUGAAGCUCCUCCAGUAUUUGUACAUCCCGGGCUUCUUGUCCUUUCCUACUGAAAACAACAGGAGGAUGUGGGAGAACAAGCGGGAGAUAGAAGGGCUCGUGAGAGGGGUCGUCCAGAAGAGGGAGCGCGCGAUGGACAAGGACGGGGACAUUGGCAACGACAUGCUUGGCCUGAUGCUGCAGUCCAACAGGUCAUCCAAUUCCGACUUGCGGAUGAGCACUCAGGACGUCAUCGAGGAGUGCAAGCUCUUCUACUUCGCGGGAAUGGAGUCCACGCAGCAGCUGCUCACAUGGACAGUCGUCAUGCUAGGCAUGCACCCCGAGUGGCAGGACCGGGCGAGGGAGGAGGUUCUGGGCGUCUUCGGCAGGGACGGCAAACCCGGCUUCGACGGCCUUAAUCGACUCAAAACGAUGACGAUGAUAAUGUACGAGGUGCUCAGGCUGUACACGCCGGUGGUCACCAUGAACCGGAAAAUAAACAAAGAGAUGCGGAUCGGGGGCGUCACCUACCCUGCCGGAACGGUCCUGGAGCUACCCUUCCUCAUGGUUCACCACAACCCGAACGUGUGGGGGGAGGACGUGUCCGAGUUCAAGCCGCAGAGGUUCGCGGAGGGGAUCUCCAAGGCGACCAAGAAUGGCCAGGUGGGCUUCUUCCCGUUCGGCUGGGGGCCGAGGAUCUGCAUCGGCAAUAACUUCGCCAUGCUCGAGGCCAAGAUGGCCGUGAGCAUGAUCCUUCAGCGUUUCGAGUUCCGGCUCUCGCCUUCUUACGCCCAUGCGCCCUGCACCGUGAUAACGCUGCAUCCUCAGCAUGGCGCGCAAAUCAUACUCAAGAGCCUCUGA